UAUAUGAUUAUUAAAAGAAGAUUCCCUCAAGGGAGAUUUUGUGGCGAUUAUGGGUUCCACCUCUCAGCCCUAUCGGGGCCAUCAUCGGUGCGGUUCCCUCAGACCUCAGCCGCCAUUUCCCUUCUCUGGCCUAGGGUUUUGCUCCAUUUUUUAAGUCUGUUAUUCUCUCUUAAAGACCCGUCGAUAGUCAAGGACUAGGGUUCAGUGCGUCAAAUUUCCGGUGGCUCCUUGAACCAGCAUACAGUGGUAUAGGGCUCUUAUUCUCCCUAAUUUCAGUUUCCCGGUGUAUUUUGGUCUUUUCUCCUAAGCUCGACUGCUUUCCGGUGACAAUCAUUUUCCAGUGAUUCUGUCAUUCUUUGCUACGGCGACUCCCAGGUUCAAGUAACCUCCUCUCUUCCUCUUGGGGUGGCAUGGUGACAUGGUGUAGCCUUUGAGGUUGGCCUGGUGUGGCCGUGGUGUGGUGGCCUGGUGUGGCCUUGGAUUGUAUUUGAGUUUUCUCCCUUAUUCCUUUCCUUUGGUUCUCUCUUUUUGAGUGGUUUAUGUGAAUCUCAAAUUACACAUCCCUGGUUUAUUUCUGGUGGUAUGUACUUUGUGAGCAUCAUGUUGUGAUUAUGCUGUUGUUCUUCAGCUCCAUUCAAUGGCUAAGAAAAAAUUAAAAUCUAAAUACAGUGCUAUGAAUACUCAUGUCAUGAAUCAAGAGACAGUCUCCUCCUCUGCUUCUUCAGAUUUAGACGAUUCUUGUGACGGUAUCAAAAGGUAUACCAUGUAAAAGACCAAAUAGCUUGUUUGGUUGACAAAUUCGAAUCAUGCUCAAAUACCAUAUGGACUCUGGGAAGCAUGGAUAAGGGUUUGAAGGCCAGCUUAUCAAAUAUGUGAGGACAUGUCCAUACAAUAUAGGUCAUCUCAAUUGUUUUCUGCCAGACUUAGGUUCUAUGCAUGCAAGUUUGGAACUAGCAAGUUCACCGCUCUGUUGAUCGUUCCACACCAACUACAUCAGUUAUAGAAUCUCAGCAGCAGAAUGUGAAAUUGAACCUUGCUGGCCUACCAAGAAGAUAGUUGCUUCGUCAAGACCCUAAAUGCCUUCCUGGAGAUUGCAGAACAACAACCAUGUUUGCCCAUGAGUCUAUCUAGGAUUGAAAACUUAUUGUCGAUCGUAUUGAAUUUAUGCUUUUGUGCAUUUUUUAAUCUUUUAGAUGAUGGAUAUUUUGGGUAUACGUAUAGUGCUCAUUUGGCAUGAUUGUCGGGAACAACAUUGUAUUUAUAUUAUUGGCGUGUCGGAGAACGUUGUUGGAUC